rnacentral:lncRNA from 1 species
UACAUGUUGGACUUGAAAUUUGACUUAGGAGAAAACCUGCGUUUUGACCCGUCAUAUGCUUAAACUACCAGAUUUAGCUUUAGGAGCCGUGAUUCGAUUGUAUCGUUGCAGUAUCAGUGCGAUGGAUAUCUGGGGUAGUUUAGAAGGCAUUUACGCUCGUGCUGGGGUGCCGAGCUUAUUUUUCAGCAGAGUUUAGGCUGUUUCGGGUCGUUGGGUGCCGUUCGGG